CAAGUCGCACGAGAAAGUGGAGCAAUCCAUGAGUACAGUGGCGCACGGGUGAGUAACACGUGAAUCAUCUACCUCCGAGUGGGGAAUAACCUAGAGAAAUCUGGGCUAAUACCGCAUAACACUUACGAGUCAAAGCAGCAAUGCGCUUGGAGAGGAGUUCGCGGCCGAUUAGCUAGUUGGCGGGGUAAUGGCCCACCAAGGCGAUGAUCGGUAUCCGGCCUGAGAGGGCGCACGGACACACUGGAACUGAAACACGGUCCAGACUCCUACGGGAGGCAGCAGUGGGGAAUUUUGCGCAAUGGGGGAAACCCUGACGCAGCAACGCCGCGUGGAGGAUGAAAUCCCUUGGGAUGUAAACUCCUUUCGAUGGGGAAGAUUAUGACGGUACCCAUAGAAGAAGCCCCGGCUAACUUCGUGCCAGCAGCCGCGGUAAUACGAGGGGGGCAAGCGUUGUUCGGAAUUAUUGGGCGUAAAGGGUGCGUAGGCGGUCUGACAAGUCUGAUGUGAAAUCUAUGGGCUCAACCCAUAGUCUGCAUCGGAAACUGUCGGGCUUGAGUAUGGGAGAGGUGAGUGGAAUUUCCGGCGUAGCGGUGAAAUGCGUAGAUAUCGGAAGGAACACCUGUGGCGAAAGCGGCUCACUGGACCAUUACUGACGCUGAGGCACGAAAGCUAGGGGAGCAAACAGGAUUAGAUACCCUGGUAGUCCUAGCCCUAAACGAUGAUCGCUUGAUGUGGCAGGUACCCAAUCCUGCCGUGUCGAA
rnacentral:rRNA from 1 species